GUGCGGGUUUCUGUGUGUGUGUGUGUGUGUGUGUGCGUGCGUGCGUGCGUGCGUGCGUGCGUGCGUGUGCGUGACCCAUACUGAUAGUGUGUGUUUCUGUGCACGUGUGUUUGUCUGUUUCAAGGAGGUUGUGGGUUUCUGUGUGUGUGUGUGUGUGUGUGUGUGUAUGCGUUGGUGGUGGUGUGUGUGUGUGUGUGUGUGUGUUAGUGCUGGUGUUUGUGUAAGUAGUUGUGCGUGUGUGUGUGUGUGUGUGAUGGUGUGUUAGUGAUGGUGUGUGUGUGUGUUUUGUGUGUGUGUUUUUGCAAUGCACAGGUGCAAAAGGAUGGCUCUGUUGUUGAGACGAAGUGUGUGUUCAUAUGUAAAUACCUGUGUUGUUUAUGAAACUAAGGUUGGUGUGUGUGAGCAUGUCUUCUCACUAUACAUCAGAUAUAGCGGACAGUUGCACUUUAUUCCUGAUCAACGUGUGUGCGUGUGUGUGUGUGUGUGUGUGUGUGUGUGUGUGUGUGUGUGUGUGUGUGUGUGUGUGUGUGUGUGUGUGUGUGUGUGUGUGUGUGUGUGUGUGUGACUCUUUCAGCGUGAAAAGGAUGACUCUGUUGUUGAGACUAAGCGUGGGUACAUAUGUUAAUAUUUGUGUUGCUGGUCCUAUCAAGGUUGGUGUGUGUGAGCAUUUGUAUAUAUUUUGAAACACUACUAAUAGUACUUAAUAUUUUUAAUAGCUCACAAAUGCACACACAUACACAUAACACACACACACACACACACACACACACACACACACACACACACACACACACACACACAAACACACUUUCUGUACUGCUGAAGUCAGGACUCUAACUUCCUGUUCUCACCCAUGCAAUGGAGCACUGCGAAUGGCAACUACAGAGCACCAUGUGUGUGUGCGUGUGUGUGUGUGUGUGUGUGUGUGUGUGUGUGUGUGUGUGUGUGAGUGUGAGUGUGAGUGUGUGUGUGUGUGUGUGUGUGUGUGUGUGUGUGUGUGUGUGUUGCCAGGGUGGGGUCAUAUCGAGGUUUGGGUUGUGUCAUAAUCUCAUGCUGACUGAUUUCUAACAACCAUAGUUUCAAUCCUAAUGCUAAUUGCCUAGCCGCUACCAACCGGAAUAACAUUGUGCAUACCGAAAGUGAGCUGGUAUGCACGGAUUGUGCAUACCAGUUUGGAUUGUUUGUCAAUAAAACAAACUCUUCAUUGCAUAAUAAAUGCACAAGAACCCUAUCAAACCACGUACUCAGCCGACUAGUCAAAAAUAUUCCUAGUUUGCAACACAAUAUUGAGGUAUUUGGGACUAUAAAAAUAACCUCCCAGCUCUUGUCUGUAUAGACUCAAAUAAACUUUUAUAAGGACACAUAUGCAAGUAUGUACUCAUUCGAUGCGGGUAAUAUCAUGUUCACAGUGAGCCUUUCACAGUAUGACAGAACAGGUUCAGUCAGCAGUGAUGGAGGAUACCGCAGCAGCACUAGUAAGCGGAGAGGUGAGGGGGAAGGUCGCUGGACGCUGGGCUAUUGGACCUGAUUUACAUAACGCCGAACAACAACACGGUUCUUUGCGGAAACGACCUGGCCAACAGAUACUCAUGCAAAUAUCGGGAGUUACGGUCUGAACUCCCAGAGGAGGUAUGGGUCGUGCGCAUCGCUCUGCCCGCUCUAGAGUUGGAAAAACACAACUCAGGUCAUCGUCCACGCAAAUUAGCUGCACAUCAUGAGGAAACCGAAUCCAUCGUUCAAAGAUCCUAAGCAAUUCAGCAAGCAAACUUUUUUUUCCACGACAGCUGUUGCUCAAUAUCUAUUACUAAUAUCGAUUUUUUUAAUAUCUAUUUUUGUAUGUUGUCGGUAUGAACUCUUAGAAUAGGGAACCCCUUUAACCGUUAACGAUAUCUGGUCAUCAGACUGCAGGCUUUUCUCCAAACACAACAAGACGGAGUCGGAGAUGAGGCAAACCGCACACAGAGGAGGAUUUUCCCACGUCGAAGUGGACAGAAAGCUGCAAAGUGACCCGGACGUGGACCGUAACCCCUGACGUUUGAGGGGACAAUGGCGUUAUGGGAUCAUAACAAAGUCAUUAGCGCCCCAGCACUAUUUACUUGGAAAGUAUUCGUGGCCGCAUUCCGGUUCAGCCUCGGAGAUGCGUGCGCACCACGCUGCCAGGUUUUACAAGGCCAUCGAAAACAGAGUUGGUCACGGUUGAGUUUUACAUUACUCAGUUAGUUUCCAAAUAUCCUUUCUCAAUAAAGGGAGGAAGUAAUCCUUUCACUAGGAUUACUCCCCGCUGAAAAGAUAACUACUGUUUGAGGCGUUGAAAGGCCCCCCAUGUCAUGCUCUUUCAUGAUGAGUUGCCGAGGACUAGACGUUGCGCACAUGGCCAAUGUGCGCAAACAAACACAAUGUUCAGCAUCAUGCAUUCAUCUUCUGCAGCCGUGGUAGACCAGACAAAAUAAACCAUUGUAAGCAAAAAAAUGUAGUCUGAAUUAUGGCAGAAUUAUCAAAUAAGACACCGUGGUCAAGCUGACAGUGGCAUAAUUCUUUACAGUAGGCUUAUAAUAAAGUAGCCUGCAGACAAUGCGAGUCGUUACGCAAGAAACAGAUAAUGGCAAGUUUAUUCUAUAGAAGUGGCAUGUAUUAUAGAUAUACAGAAAAAAAUGUAGCCUAGGCUAUGCUUGUUAAAAGCCCGGAGGCAAAAGUGCAUAUGCAUUGCAAAUAUAUGCGCAAAUCGAAAUGAUGUAGAGAUCUUACAUCUAUAACCAUGCAAAGUGUGUGUGUGUGUGUGUGUGUGUGUGUGUGUGUGUGUGUGUGUG
ensembl:lncRNA